rnacentral:tRNA from 1 species
UCCCUGGUGUCUCAGACAGUAAAGAAUCUGCCUGCAAUGCAGGAGACCCAGGUUCGAUCCCUGAGUUGGGAA